CGUACACUGAAUCCAUAGGUGUACGAGGCAAACCUGGGGAACUGAAACAUCUAAGUACCCAGAGGAAAAGAAAUCAAUCGAGAUUCCGUCAGUAGCGGUGAGCGAAAGCGGAACAGCCCAGUUACUAAGUCAUUAUUUGUUCUAGCAGAAUGUUCUGGAAAGUUCAGCCAUAGCGGGUGAUAGCCCCGUACGCGAAAGAGUAAAUAAUGUGGGUAACGAUGAGUAGGUCGGGACACGUGGUAUCUUGACUGAACAUGGGGGGACCAUCCUCCAAGGCUAAAUACUCCUUACUGACCGAUAGCGAACCAGUACCGUGAGGGAAAGGUGAAAAGAACCCCGGCGAGGGGAGUGAAAUAGAACCUGAAACCGUAUGCGUACAAGCAGUAGGAG
rnacentral:rRNA from 1 species